rnacentral:rRNA from 1 species
UACGUAGGGUGCAAGCGUUAAUCGGAAUUACUGGGCGUAAAGCGUGCGCAGGCGGUUUUGUAAGUCUGUUGUGAAAUCCCCGGGCUCAACCUGGGAAUUGCGAUGGAGACUGCAAGGCUAGAAUCUGGCAGAGGGGGGGGUAGAAUUCCACGUGUAGCAGUGAAAAUGCGUAGAGAUGUGGAGGAACACCGAUGGCGAAGGCAGCCCCCUGGGUCAAGAUUGACGCUCAUGCACGAAAGCGUGGGGAGCAAACAGG